CACUUCUUCUCUUUAAUUCCAGGAACCUAUCAAACACAAAGCUCAUAUGGUAUAAAAUAUCAGGUACAUAAUAGUUUACACACUGUGUGUCGUAGCAGUGAAGCUAGUAUGGAUAAAAAAUGCUACUAUAAGCAACAAAAUUCUUAAUUAAGUGAACAAAUUUGCAAGGAGAAAAAACUUAUUAAAUAUGGAGGUUCCACUUCCAACCUUGGAUGCUACAAUACAACAUUGUUUUCUUCAUUCAAGAAAGGGAUAGUCCGUAUAACCUACAACCGGAUCAGAAGUGUAGAAUGUCUCCCUGUUAUAUUUAUUGAGAGGAGCGUUUAGUGCAAAUCUCUUCGGCAAAUCUGGAUUCGCUA
rnacentral:lncRNA from 1 species